GGGUGGGUGGCCCAGUGGUUAGAGCCUUGGGCUCGUAACCGAAGGGUUCGAGUUCCAACCUCGCAAGACGCA
rnacentral:tRNA from 1 species